CAGUCGCCGCGGUAAUACGAAGGGUGCAAGCGUUAAUCGGAAUUACUGGGCGUAAAGCGUGCGUAGGCGGUGAGUUAAGUCUGCUGUGAAAUCCCCGGGCUCAACCUGGGAAUGGCAGUGGAUACUGGCUCGCUAGAGUGUGUCAGAGGAUGGUGGAAUUCCCGGUGUAGCGGUGAAAUGCGUAGAGAUCGGGGGGAACAUCAGUGGCGAAGGCGGCCAUCUGGGACAACACUGACGCUGAGGCACGAAAGCGUGGGGAGCAAACAGGAUUAGAUACCCCAGUAGUCCCUGUCUCUUAUAC
rnacentral:rRNA from 1 species